rnacentral:rRNA from 1 species
UACAGAGGUGGCAAGCGUUGUUCGGAAUUACUGGGCGUAAAGGGCGCGUAGGCGGUUCGUUAAGUCCUGUGUGAAAUCCCCGGGCUUAACCUGGGAACUGCAUUUGUGACUGCAUCGCUGGAGUGCGGCAGAGGGGGAUGGAAUUCCGCGUGUAGCAGUGAAAUGCGUAGAUAUGCGGAGGAACACCGAUGGCGAAGGCAAUCCCCUGGACCUGUACUGACGCUCAUGCACGAAAGCGUGGGGAGCAAACAGG